rnacentral:tRNA from 1 species
CAGGGAGACAAACCCGACUUUGAUGUUUGAUCCAUUUUGUGAUCAAGCCGGAGUCCUGUCAUCUCGAAGGUCGAUCGGUACCUCAAGCCGAAGCUUCUAACAUUCAGGUUUGCUUGAGUGUGUGGGAGUUAUUGGUUUCAGUUUCUAAACUCUGUCUAGGUCACCCCACAGCGGGAAGUACUCCUGGGCCAUUAGCUCAGGUGGUUAGAGCGCACCCCUGAUAAGGGUGAGGUCCCUGGUUCAAGUCCAGGAUGGCCCAUUCGUGUUUGGGGGUUUAGCUCAGUUGGUAGAGCGCCUGCUUUGCAAGCAGGAUGUCAGCGGUUCGAGUCCGCUAACCUCCAUCCAACGGACAUUCCCCAGCAGCGAAGGAAGGAGUAGCUGCGGAGGUGACCAAGCGUGCUGAAGAUUUCAGCCUCCAGGCAUUCUGAACGAUCAGUUGCCUGGAAGCUGGACUCAAGCCUUCUGAAAGGAGGGCUUUGAAUUCAGCCAGAACCUUGACAACUGCAUAGGUGAGUCUGGAAAUAAAAGCAUCUCAUGGAUGCCUUGUUUCUGGAGGUUCGUAGAACAGAUGAAUGUCUGCUCUGCAAGGACCACUAGGGAUGAGGUUUUGAUUCUUGAGUGAGAGCCGAGAGGUCUUGAUCCAGUGUCUGAUUGUGGAUCGCAAGAUCAACGAGAAGAGAUUGGAUGGAGACCAAUUUUA